rnacentral:rRNA from 1 species
GGUGACCUGCGGAAGGAUCAUUACCUAGAGUUGUAGGCUUUGCCUGCUAUCUCUUACCCAUGUCUUUUGAGUACCUUACGUUUCCUCGGUGGGUUCGCCCACCGAUUGGACAAACUUAAACCCUUUGCAGUUGAAAUCAGCGUCUGAAAAAACUUAAUAGUUACAACUUUCAACAACGGAUCUCUUGGUUCUGGCAUCGAUGAAGAACGCAGCGAAAUGCGAUAAGUAGUGUGAAUUGCAGAAUUCAGUGAAUCAUCGAAUCUUUGAACGCACAUUGCGCCCCUUGGUAUUCCAUGGGGCAUGCCUGUUCGAGCGUCAUUUGUACCUUCAAGCUCUGCUUGGUGUUGGGUGUUUGUCUCCUGUAGACUCGCCUUAAAACAAUUGGCAGCCGGCGUAUUGAUUUCGGAGCGCAGUACAUCUCGCGCUUUGCACUCAUAACGACGACAUCCAAAAGUACAUUUUUACACUCUUGACCUCGGAUCAGGUAGGGAUACCCGCUGAACUUAAGCAUAUCAAU